CCUACGGGGGGCAGCAGUAGGGAAUCAUCCGCAAUGGACGGAAGUCUGACGGUGCAACGCCGCGUGAGUGAUGAAGAUUUUCGGAUCGUAAAACUCUGUUGUCAGGGAAGAACAUGUGCUGUUCGAAGAGGGCAGCACCUUGACGGUACCUGACCAGAAAGCCCCGGCUAACUACGUGCCAGCAGCCGCGGUAAUACGUAGGGGGCAAGCGUUGUCCGGAAUUAUUGGGCGUAAAGGGCGCGCAGGCGGUCUUUUAAGUCUGAUGUGAAAUCCCGCGGCUUAACCGCGGUCGGUCAUUGGAAACUGGAGGACUUGAGUGCAGAAGAGGAGAGUGGAAUUCCACGUGUAGCGGUGAAAUGCGUAGAGAUGUGGAGGAACACCAGUGGCGAAGGCGACUCUCUGGUCUGUAACUGACGCUGAGGCGCGAAAGCGUGGGUAG
rnacentral:rRNA from 1 species